AAUGAAGGAUUAUGGACCAGCUAAGGAAGGCAUUAGGAUCCUUUUUCUUGCCUCCCUUAGUUGGACCCUAAUCCUUCGUU
rfam:Macaca mulatta chromosome 2, whole genome shotgun sequence.